GAGUCACACUCACAAUAUUAAACAAUGGCGUCGAAAUUCAUCAUGCUGGCCUCCGUUUUACUGCUCACAAUUCAUUCAGGAUGCAAACUAUUCAAUCACUCAAUAGGAAUCUGAGAAAUACUGCAUCACAUGCAUUUAUUGUUAGAAGGACCAAAACUAAUAAUAUACCAGCAUAUAAUUUCAAAAGUAGUAGAACAAGAAUGUUGACAAUAGUUAGAAAAAUUGAUGGAGACACAGAGGUAUCCAAUGGUGGUAGGAGGGUCCAGUUGUUUGAUGCUGAUGCAGAGCAGGACGAUGAAGGCGUAUAAACUAUAGGCUUAUUAGUACUAGUGUUGUUCUAGUUUAACAUUUUGUUUUGAUUAUAGUUCUAGCUUUCAAACUAUUAUCUUUAGUUCUAUAGUUUUGAUUCUUGUACUAUGUGCUCUAUUUCUAGUA